UGGAUGCCAAAUUCAAGGAAAUAGGGCACAACAACAUGUACUCCCCUCAUGCUACCCCCAACUCAUUGUUCUCCUUUAUGUCACAAAUUAAAAAGUUCAUGAACACCCUGCGACAGUACCAGACCACAGCCAUUAUGAACCUUUAGGAGACGAACGACGAUCGAGAGGCUGUUCUACAAGCUUAUAAUUGAUAAUGUGGCGGAGCUGCUUCAUUUUGUCUACACAACAACUGUAGGUGAGGCCUGCCAGAAAUAUGGGUCCAUCUUUGGACGACCACAGGGUUUGUAUGUCAGCCUGAAGGACAAGGGGAAGGUCCUAGAAGUUCUAAGGAACUGGCCACAUAGGAACAUUCAAGUUAUCUGUGUUACUGAUGGUGAGCAAAUCUUGGGACUUGGAGAUUUGGGUUGGCAGUUAUGAUUGUUUCAUUAGU